AACAAAUCCCCCGCACCUGAAAGAGGAGGCAUCUCUCACAGACCUUGACUGAAGUCCAGGUGUACGGAGGUGUCAGUGGAGCAGGUUCUGGUUGUGAAAGAUUCUGGUCAUCAAGUUAAUCUGUUGUCAUCAGCUCCUGGGGCUGACUUCUGAAAGCAUAUAAAAGCCUCCCAUUUGGGAGGCUUAUUAAUCUGAGUGGCCUCUUCUUCCUUUCCUCCAGCAGCAGGAGACACCAGGCUUAGCAAAGAUGUCUUCCCACCAGCAGAAACAGCAGCAGCAAAUACAUUCAAAAUGCCAGGAAAAGUGUCCUCCAAAGACUGUGGAGCAAUGCCGGCCCCCGAAAGGGCAAGCUAAGUGUCCUGUGAAGAGCAUCCCGCAGCAGCAGCAAUGCCCAAAGCAGAAGUAGCACUAACAGUAAUGGCCACAAAGUGCCAUGGAAGAUGCAAAUGCUUAUUUCCAAGUUCUCCUUCUGUCUGCUGGCUCUGCCAGAAUAGCUAGAAAUUUGCAGCGUGCCUCCUUUGUUUGCAAGCAGAAAUUACAAGGAGAUGCAAUUCAUUAACUUGGACUUAUUCAUCUUCUACUAUAUAUAAAAAAUAAUCAUGCGGUGUUUUCUUCUGAUCUUUAAUUUGGGACAUACUACAAUAAAAUUAUAAGUAACCCCAUUA